UUUCAAAAACAUUCUCUUUUCACGAGAGUAUAAAAAACAGAGUAUUAAGAUAUAUUAUCAACUUAAAGAAACAGAUUCAGAAACAUAGUAUCAUUUUAACAUAGUAUCAACUCAAAGAAACAGACUCAGAAACAUAGUAUCAACUCAAAGAAACAGACUCAUAAUCACCCAAGACAUUUCAUAUAGAUCAUCACAUAAGAUCAAGGUAGCCUUCUGAAAUAGAUCUCCACUGUUUGAAGAACCUGAUGGAUGACUUCUUAUGGAUGCUAGUUGCUACCUACCUGUACACGUACACAAGUUGAGUAUCAGACCAAAGUUAGC
rnacentral:lncRNA from 1 species